rnacentral:rRNA from 1 species
GACGAACGCUGGCGGCGUGCCUAAUACAUGCAAGUAGAACGCUGAAGGGGGAGCUUGCUUCUCCGGAUGAGUUGCGAACGGGUGAGUAACGCGUAGGUAACCUGCCUGGUAGCGGGGGAUAACUAUUGGAAACGAUAGCUAAUACCGCAUAAGAGUAGAUGUUGCAUGACAUUUGCUUAAAAGGUGCAAUUGCAUCACUACCAGAUGGACCUGCGUUGUAUUAGCUAGUUGGUGGGGUAACGGCUCACCAAGGCGACGAUACAUAGCCGACCUGAGAGGGUGAACGGCCACACUGGGACUGGGACACGGCCCAGACUCCUAAGGGAGGCAGCAGUAGGGAAUCUUCGGCAAUGGACGGAAGGCUGAACGAGCAACGCCGCGUGAGAGAAGAAGGUUUUCGGAUCGGAAAGCUCUGUUGUAAGAGAAGAAAGAGUGUGAGAGUGGAAAGUUCACACUGUGACGGUAUCUUAACAGAAAGGGACGGCUAACUACGUG